ACUCCGGAAAAGCAAGGAAAACGGCCAGAAUUGAGUCUGUUCGAGGAAGCUGGAAUUCUUGGUGGAGGGGUGAAAUCCGUAGAUAUCAAGAGGAACACCAUGCGCGAAGGCGAGCUUCUAGGACAGUACUGACACUCAGGGACGAAAGCUUGGGGAUCAAAGCGGAUUAGAGACCCGCGUAGUCCAAGCAGUAAAUGUUGCCCGCUAAUUCCUCGCUCUUUUAGAGUGGGGGAUGUAAGCUAACGCGUUAAGCGGGCCGCCUGGGGAGUACGGCCGCAAGGCUAAAACUCAAAGGAAUUGACGGGGGAGCGCACAACCGGUGGAGCAUGUGGUUUAAUUCGAUACAAAGCGAAAAACCUUACCCAGGUUUGACAUAUACCUGCACGGUCUAGGAAACUAGAUCUUCUUCGAGAGUGGUAUACAGGUGAUGCAUGGCUGUCGUCAGCUCGUGUCGUGAGACGUCCACUUAAGUGUGGUAACGAGCGCAACCCUUACCCUAUGUUAUCUUUGUCAUAGGGGACUGCCCCCGCUUUGCGGGGGAGGAAGGAGAGGACGACGUCAAGUCAGCACGUCCCUUACAUCUGGGGCUACACACAUCCUACAAUGGAGCCGACAACAGGUCGCGACGGGGUAACCCUGAGCUAAUCCUUAGAAACGGCCCCUCAGUUCAGAUUGCGGGCUGAAAUUCGCCCGCAUGAAGUUGGAAUCGGUAGUAAUCGCAAAUCAUCAGGUUGCGGUGAAUACGUUCUCGCUCCUUGUACACACUGCCCGUCAAGCCAGCAAAGUCAGCAGCGCCCGAAGCGGAUGACUCCAACUCGCAAGAGAGGAGCUCUUCUACGGCGAGGUUGGCGAUGAGGACUAAGUCGUAACAAGGUAUCCGUACUGGAAGGUGCGGAUG
rnacentral:rRNA from 1 species